CAGCAGCCACGGUAAUACGAAGGGGGCUAGCGUUGUUCGGAAUUACUGGGCGUAAAGCGCACGUAGGCGGAUACUUAAGUUAGGGGUGAAAUCCCAGGGCUCAACCCUGGAACUGCCUUUAAUACUGGGUAUCUUGAGUUCGAGAGAGGUAAGUGGAAUUCCGAGUGUAGAGGUGAAAUUCGUAGAUAUUCGGAGGAACACCAGUGGCGAAGGCGGCUUACUGGCUCGAUACUGACGCUGAGGUGCGAAAGCGUGGGGAGCAAACAGGAUUAGAUACCCCCGUAGUCCCUGUCUCUUAUAC
rnacentral:rRNA from 1 species